rnacentral:rRNA from 1 species
UCUUCGGCAAUGGACGAAAGUCUGACCGAGCAACGCCGCGUGAGUGAAGAAGGUUUUCGUAUCGUAAAACUCUGUUGUUAGAGAAGAACAAGGAUGAGAAGAGAAUGUUCAUCCCUUGACGGUAUCUAACCAGAAAGCCACGUCUAACUACUUUCUAGCAUCCCCGGUAAUACGUAGGUGGCAAGCGUUGUCCGGAUUUAUUGGGCGUAAAGCGAGCGCAGGCGGUUCUUUAAGUCUGAUGUGAAAGCACCCGGCUCAACCGGGGAGGGUCAUUGGAAACUGGGGAACUUGAGUGCAGAAGAGGAGAGUGGAAUUCCAUGUGUAGCGGUGAAAUGCGUAGAUAUAUGGAGGAACACCAGUGGCGAAGGCGGCUCUCUGGUCUGUAACUGACGCUGAGGCUCGAAAGCGUGGGGAGCAAACAGG